CAGGAACAGGGUCUGCAGGUACUGGCACCAUUCCUCGGCAUCCGGGCUGUAGACGAUGAGGAUGUCGCAUCCUCUGGGCACCCCUGAGGCUGCCAUGCCGCGGGGCGCCGCUCACAUCCCUGGCUCGCUGCGUGCCCGGGGCCGGGACCGGGGCCGGCGGCGUCCUGGCUCGGGCUGGAGGGGCGCCGGGCUCCGCGCGGGACCGGCCGCCGCUCUGGCGCUUCCUCCCUCAGGGCAGCCCGGCCUCGCCACGAGGGCGUGUCCACAGAGUCCGCCCCGCCUGCGGGACUCGGCCCGCGGCACCUGCACCCGCGGCCGUUGGGGAGGGGAAGUGAGAACCCCAUGCCGGCCGCCGGCCAGCUCCCCCCACGGCCCCCUGCUCAGGGGCAGCGAGAAGGCGGGGG
rnacentral:lncRNA from 1 species